rnacentral:lncRNA from 1 species
GGGUAGAGUUUCUUGGUGUACUGCUUGCUUUUUUUGUUCUAAAAUGUAGAUAUGAUAAAUGUGGGAACUAUGAUAAAUAAUGCUUUGUUUUAUUCUUUUAGCAGUCAUAUUCUGCUCUGGCCCAUGAUCUUCAUUUUCUAACUAUUUUAGUGGGUUCGUUGAAUGUUUUCUACUUCCUCCUGUGAUUUUAUACAAUUCAAAAUUACUGUCUUUAACUGAUGGAACCUUUUUGAUGAGACCGUGUUUUAUUGAUCC